GGGAAAUACAUAAUAACAUGGUGGGGAUAUGAGCACCUGUUAUAGCAGUCAUUUAGUGGUCACAGGAUAUUGAUACAUUUCUCUCACUGCUCUCCCUACAUGAAAUGCCAGGCAGAGGACAGAGCUCGCACUGGUUACCCCAGCCACGGCCACCGUCACAGCAGCACUGGGACUUGGUGCUUGGAAUUCGGCUACUGGAGGACAUCUGACACAUGAAAACGCAGAUACGUUGAGGACUUACCGACACACCUUUGUCCCGUUUUUAGUUACGGGGUCGGCAUUUCUGGCUUCUUCCCGUUAUGGGUCGCUGGUGGGAUUUGGCACAGUUUUACGCUGGAUGCGCUUCCUGACACAACCCUCCCUAUUUAUCCGGGCUUGGGGCCGGCACUACAAUGCACUGGUCUGUGCAUCCCAGCGGCUAGGCGGGCACAAACACAUAAAAGUGCCGACAAGGUUUUUACAGUUCAUUCCCCUGGUGUCACAGUCAUGUAAACCCUCCAAACACUCAUCCAGGUCUGCAGUGGAAAAUAUAACACCAAGAGGAGAAAAAGGUUGGAAAUGUGGGCGGCGCUUAACCAUAAAUAUAACACAGAUGAGUGGAGCUUGUUCACUGAUUCAUCAAAAGUGAGCAAAGACGAAAUACACCAAACUCACACAAUGACUGGAGGCAAAGACAGAAUCCAGGUCCCUAGGACCUUGGAGAUGUGCAGCCCCCAGGCUACCUGCUGACACUACCAAAUAUCCUCCAAACAUCUUUAUUUGAUUGACCAUAUACCCAUAAUGGCAGGGGACAUAAUGGCAUCCAAGAUCUGCAUCAUUUACUUCUUAUCAGGCUCCAACGGGUGAGAGCUUGAACCCAUCCGAGCACUCACAACGAUAGCUGCCAGGAGUGUUAAUACAGUCUGCGUUCCUCUGGCACAAGUUUUCUGAGUCACUACACUCAUCGUUGUCUAUACACAGACAGAACAGAAGAGAACAGAAAAGUGCUUAAACACUGUCAAAGGACAAGAGCGGCUGUGAAAUAACAACACACUUAAAGAAUAAGGUUUACACACACUGUAUUUCAACUGUCAAUUCCUUACUUUGGGCUUUUUCGCCGCUACAUUGGUAAGUGAUUUGCAUUUUGUUAACCUUUGGCAAAGCUCCGAUCUUUAUUAGCUCAAUGUGUGCACACAGCUCCCUUGUUAUGGUCUGUUACAUACAGCCUAGAGGUACUUAAAAGGGAACACUGGUCAAGAUUCAGCCCCCUUGUGAUUUGCAAAUGUGCUGGAGAGGACACUGGUUUGAGAUCAUAUGAUCAAAGCUAAAUUCAGACUGACGCUGCAUGUGAGACUGUCCUGCCGAGCCAGUCAGGGGAGUGGGCGAAACAUAAACACACUGAGAUAGUGUUUAGAGACGUGCUUAAAGUAGGAAAGUCCUGUGCUGUGACAAUGGUAGAAAUUUAUGAAGGCAUAGUUUAGUUACAGUAUCUUGUGAUUUAAUAAUGGAUGAUAAAUGAUAAUGGAUGAUAGAUAAUAAAUAAUACACUAUAUGGUCUAAAGUAUCUGGGACAUUAGUAUUUAAUUUAAAAUGGCCCCCUUAGAAGCUACAACAGCCUCUGUUCUUGAGAAGGCCUGACUCGCUUUUGAUGUUUCAUUUCAUCCCAAAGUUGUUCAUUUUGUCUUGGGACAAUCGCAGCACACAAUGUUGAAAGUAUAUCAUUUAUUUUUAUAUACUUGAUUUAAUACACCAAUAUAGCAAUAGGUGUGGUUGAAACACCUGAACUUAAUAAUUAGCAGAGGUGUCCAUAUGCUUUUGGCCCUGGUUGGUCAUAUUAAACAACCUUUUAUAGGCAACCAAAAACUGGUAUUUUCCUGUAUCCAAAUCACUGCCUAGGUCAAGAGGAAAACCCAAACUUUCAUCUUUUCCUAGGAGGGAAUUUGUAUGGAUGAUAAAAUAUAGUCCACAAAUCACAAAAUAUAAGGCUAGCAUUUUGAGAAGGCGCUUGAUCAUGGGGCACUGUCUACAGUCAAGUAAGCUUAAUGUAGCCAUUGCCUUAGAAUCCGCCAAGAAUAAUCACUGUUCCAAAUUCAGCACCUUAAAUCUUGACUUAAGUUUGUUGCUAAUCACAUGGUUUAGAAACAAUUCUGAUUCAGAUCGAAGAGUCUGAAUUAGUUGGUUAGAAGUUUCAAAUAGAAAAAAGACCAGGUGUUAUGUAAAAACAAAGUGGCAUUGACUUUAUUGCUAGCCAUUCUUACCUACUUUGCUUUAGACAGAGCCUGUCUCUAAUUAUAGUCAUACUGUAUUAAACAAUAAAAUUUAAUUUAAAUUUAAUUACAACAAACCUUCACAAACUAGUAGCAAAUCGUUGUAGCUGAAUCCCCUUGGACAUUCACAAUGAAAACUUCCAAUCUGGUUGAAACAUACACCACUGGCGCAGAUUCCUGGGAUCUCCCGACAUUCAUCAAUAUCUGAAAAUUAAACAAUCAUUUAAAGUUUAUACACUUUUAUUUGUAUGUAACACUUAUUUCAGAAAUGUAAACUAAAUUUACUAUAUAAGACAACACAGAAACAACACAGACUGAUAUAGUUUAAUAAUUGUAUCUGUUUCAUCCUGAAAUUCUUUUAAUUAUGGUAUUAAUUAAUUUUAAUUAAGUUUGCUGCUUGCUGCAAGACCUCACAUUGCUGGAAGGGUAUUAUUAAAGUGAUAUUAAGAUUCAAAGGGCCUAGCAGUAGUCAAGUGUGGAUAUGUUGAGUCUAAUUAAACCCAAUUAUUAAUUACAUUAAAUAAUUGGGUUUAAUUUAAUGUAAGAUGUAAUUGCUUGCAUUAUUCACAUUAUGUUGUCCAAUUAAAACAUCAUUACUGUCUGUUUGGUUGCACAUGGUAGUAGCUUAUUGAUUGAUUGAUUAACUGAUUGACUAAUUCAUUUUUAAAACUAUUUAGAAUGUGGGUGCUAAUGUUAGAAUAUCUUCAUUAAAUGAAAAGUCAUUAUGAUAGCUAAUCAUAAUUUUAA